GCACAAGCGGUGGAGCAUGUGGUUUAAUUCGACGCAACGCGAAGAACUUACCAGGGCUUGACAUCCCUGACGCGUAUGAAAGUACGUUUUCACCUCGGGUGACAGGGAGACAGGUGGUGCAUGGUUGUCGUCAGCUCGUGUCGUGAGAUGUUGGGUUAAGUCCCGCAACGAGCGCAACCCCUACGUUUAGUUGCUAACGCGUGAAGGCGAGCACUCUAGACGAACUGCCGUUGACAAAACGGAGGAAGGUGGGGAUGACGUCAAAUCAUCAUGCCCCUUAUGUUCUGGGCUACACACGUGCUACAAUGGCCGGUACAGACGGACGCAAAGCCGCGAGGUGGAGCAAAUACCUAAAAAGCCGGUCUCAGUUCGGAUUGCAGGCCGCAAUUCGCCUGCAUGAAGUCGGAAUCGCUAGUAAUCGCAGGUCAGCAUACUGCGGUGAAUACGUUCCCGGGCCUU
rnacentral:rRNA from 1 species